GCUAGCGUACAGAAAUUGGUUAUAACUGCCUAGACUUGAAAUCUUGUGUGUUGACGUUGAAUCAGCCUGUGGGUUCGAAUCCUACCGCUAGCG
rnacentral:tRNA from 1 species